rnacentral:rRNA from 1 species
UACGUAGGGGGCUAGCGUUGUCCGGAAUCAUUGGGCGUAAAGAGCGUGUAGGCGGCCAGGUAGGUCAGCUGUGAAAACUCGAGGCUCAACCUCGAGACGUCGGUUGAAACCACCUGGCUAGAGUCCGGAAGAGGAGAGUGGAAUUCCCGGUGUAGCGGUGAAAUGCGCAGAUAUCGGGAAGAACACCCGUGGCGAAGGCGGCUCUCUGGGACGGUACUGACGCUGAGACGCGAAAGCGUGGGGAGCGAACAGG